rnacentral:rRNA from 1 species
GACGAACCGUGCGAACGUUGUUCGGAAUCACUGGGCUUAAAGGGCGCGUAGGCGGCUCACCAAGUCGGGGGUGAAAUACUUCAGCUUAACUGGAGAAGUGCCUUCGAUACUGGUGGGCUUGAGGGAGGUAGGGGUCUGUGGAACUUCUGGUGGAGCGGUGAAAUGCGUUGAUAUCAGAAGGAGCGCCGGUGGCGAAAGCGACGGACUGGACCUCUUCUGACGCUGAGGCGCGAAAGCUAGGGGAGCAAACGGG